rnacentral:rRNA from 1 species
GACGAACGCUGGCGGCGUGCUUAACACAUGCAAGUCGAACGGUGAAGCGCCUUCCUUUUUGGUGGGUGUGGAUGAGUGGCGAACGGGUGAGUAACACGUGAGUAACCUGCCCCCUUCUUCUGGAUAACCGCAUGAAAGUGUGGCUAAUACGGGAUAUUCUGGGUCUGUCGCAUGAUGGGUCUGGGAAAGAUAUUGUUUCGGUGGGGGAUGGGCUCGCGGCCUAUCAGCUUGUUGGUGGGGUGAUGGCCUACCAAGGCGGUGACGGGUAGCCGGCCUGAGAGGGUGGACGGUCACACUGGGACUGGGACACGGCCCAGACUCCUACGAGAGGCAGCAGUGGGGAAUAGUGCACAAUGGGCGCAAGCCUGAUGCAGCGACGCCGCGUGAGGGAUGGAGGCCUUCGGGUUGUGAACCUCUUUCGCCAGUGAAGCAGGCCUGCCUCGUUUGUGGGUGGGUUGACGGUAGCUGGAGAAGAAGCGCCGGCUAACUACGUG